CCACAUUAAACACCCUGCAAACCACCUAUCAACCUUCAUGACCACUGCAAAGUAGAGCCCGACCGAUCUAUCGGCCGAUAUGAGCUAAUUGCAUUUAAUCGGCAUAGGCCAUUUAUAACGGCAGAUAUAUGACAAUUAAAAAAAACAAAAAGUCAGAUCCUUCGCCCAUGUCAUGGGUGUUGCAUAGUUUGCCCACCAGAGGGCGAGCUUCAGCUCCCCUGUUAACAACACUGCCUCACCACAAAAAGAAAACACAGAAGAAAACAAUCAGCAUACCGAAGUUUACCAGAGCUUAGUGCAGCAUGUACCAAACAUGGAGAGGGCUGUGUUAGCGUUCACAGCAGGUUGAUGCCACGGUAGCUGGGUGUUGGAAGCUACGCUGCUGGCAGACGUAACUGGAGAUUUAUUCUGAAACAAUAGCUGAAAAAGUUGCAUGUUCCAGCAACAAAUAUUUAUUGAUGUGCAAUUGUUUACAUGUUCACUUUUUGAGACAGUAAUCUAUUUUAUUAACAUAAUCCAUUUAGGAAAAGGUUUUAUAGCCCACAUACAUACCAGCUUUCAAUAUCGGCAGUGUAGUUUAUACAGUAAAGGGGUCUACUAGCCAAAUCAUUCUCUAAAUCUAAAUAUCGGCUCUUUUUCACUUUAACAUCAGCAUUGGCCCCCAAAAACCCAUAUCAGUCGGGCUCUACUGCAAAGGGAAUUUAACAAUAUACUUUUCAGCAGUUUAAUAGUGAACACCUAGUAACACCUUUGCAACCUUUUAGCAACAUAUCAAAACAAACAAAACCUAUUCCUGAUAAAUAUUUCUUAAGCAGGAUACAAAUUUCCUUACAAAACAUUUUCUAGCUAACAAUAGAAGCUGUCCGGUAAGGUAUGUGGCAAAAUGUUCCUGUGACCGUGCAAUGAUCAUCAUGACCGAGAUGGAGAAGUACUUCUGAGGCACUAGAAAUGUAAAUUUGACCAUCAAAGAUGAUGACAGUUCGUGGGAGUUUUGUUAAACUUUGGAGAGUAUAUAUUAUAGCAGAAAUGAAGGGUGACACGGGAGUGUGAUGUGUGUUUUGUGGGGAUAGAGGGGAGGGUGAAGAAAUAGAUUUAAAAGGCUAUACACCUCAUACUGCAGAUUAAAAUACAUACACAUAUACAGUAUAGGGAAAAGUUUUGGGGAAGAACUGUGAGAAAGGCUCCUUUUAGUUCUCCCAGUUAUACAGUGGGGGAAAAAAUUAUUUGAUCCCUGCUGAUUUUGUACGUUUGCCCACUGACAAAUAAAUUAUCAGUCUAUAAUUUUAGUGGUAGGUUUAUUUGAACAGUGAGUGACAGAAUAACAACCAAAAAAAUCUGAAAAACGCAUGUCAAAAAUGUUAUAAAUUGAUUUGCAUUUUAUGUAAUGUAUGUAAAGGAUUCACUUUUAUGCGCCUUUGUCAAGAAAUCUGUCCAGGUGAUCCUGUAGAAUGAUAAUAUUAAAAUAAAUAUGGUCAUCAAAUGCCAUUAAAAUAAAAGUUACAAUCUACAACUUAA